GAGCCACCGCAGCAGCAACACGCGCUUCAACGCACCAUGUGUUGACAUUGUUCUGCAUACAACGUUCUGCAUAUCACAUUUCACUGGCAGUCGAAAACACAAGAGCAAACGGCUCUUGGUUAAUGGCGAGCAAAGUAGUCAAGAAAUUUUUGCUAGCAGUCGAAACGCAGCGAGCGAAGCUUUUCAGGCUACCCUCAAAUUGUACAAUCUACGAAUGGAAUUAGCCCCAACCGUUCAUGAAAUUUGAAGUUAUUACAUAUAAAACGUGACGAUGUCCAAAUGUUGAAUUUCGAUCUGGGAUCUGAGAUAAUUGAGGCACAAGGCACAUGUUAUGUCUAUGGGAAAACUAAACCACAUCAAGCUUGACACUU